rnacentral:rRNA from 1 species
UACGUAGGGUCCGAGCGUUGUCCGGAGUUACUGGGCGUAAAGGGCGCGCAGGCGGCGGUGCUGGCCCGGCGUGAAAGCCCCCGGCUCAACCGGGGAGGGUCGUCGGGGACCGCACCGCUUGAGGGCGGUAGGGGCUGGUGGAAUGCCUGGUGUAGUGGUGAAAUGCGUAGAGAUCAGGCAGAACACCCGUGGCGAAGGCGGCCAGCUGGGCCGACCCUGACGCUGAGGCGCGAAGGCGUGGGGAGCGAACGGG